rnacentral:sRNA from 1 species
GAAGCGAGAGAACGUUGCCGCUGGCAAUGGCCCGAAGGCGAGGCGCUUUAGCGCCGAGUAAUCCUUCCCCCACCACUC